CUCAGAGGCUUUGGAGUUCUGUGUUAGAUCCUGUUCAUGAAAAAACUCAACUGCCUUAAAAAGGAUCAAAAACCACAGUAUGAAAAGAGAGUGUUUUAUCUUUUUACUGUCUUAAUCGGAUCUUAAAUAUUGAUAUGCUUUAAAUUUAUUUAUCUUUGGAUCUAACUUAAACAAGAUGAAGAUUGGAAGAGUUUUGGAGAGAAGGGUGCAGCAUUCCAAAUUGUGCCCUUAGUGUACUCAUAAGGAAUUGUUUUUGGCUCAAAGAACGGACAAUGUGCCAUGACAAUCAGCCUAGGAAGGAAGCACUACUUACUAGUGAUAGGGCUUGGUGAGACUGCUGAUUGGUUUUGUCAGCUGACUUACUUGAAUGUAGUUGUCAACAACUCCCCAAGCAAAGUCACAGGGAAAUGUCCCUUCUAGGGGCUGAUUUUCAGAAAGUCAACAUAGAAGAGUCCACGCCUGAUGCUGUAACCUCUGUGCCACUCGAAACCAUCCAUGAGGGACCAUGCGGUAUACCCGAUGACAUCCACCCCAUCCAGCUUGAUGGCUGCAAAGGGAAGAGGGGACAAGAGCAACAUGACCCUUCGCUGGGCACUUGCAUCAUGGUUCAAGAGCAGCUGAGCGUUUCCUACUUAAAUAAAUAAAGUGUAAUGCUUCUCGUUUGGUAUGGCUGAGGCAAAUGAAGCCCACACAAUACACAGCAGUAUUGCUGAGCUGAAAAGGAAGAAAGCAAUGAUGAGGACUCUGAAGCAGGUCAACGUACUGGAGAGAAGAAAUCUACACAAAGGAAGGACCUAGAAGUCUGCAUGAGAUUUCCCAAGGAUCCUUGGCUGUCCAUGCACAGGACAAGAUUUUGUGAGGCUCAGCAAAGAGAAGCAGCCACAGGUCUGGGAGAUGAAUACCAAAGGUUGGGUAGGUCUGGAAAAUAUUGCAUUUCAGAAUAGCCAGAGUAGAAAAAUGCAGCUGAGCACUUCAGGCAUCCAGCUGAAACUCAGGAAGGUCAUUACCUGAGAAGUAAGAACAAAGCAGGAAUAGACCAGCUCUAACAAAGACUAAAGCCACAUCAAGUAAAUCUGGUAAUUUAACUUCUUGGCAGAACUAAAUACAACACCCUUUAAAAAGAGACAAUAUUGACCAGGCUUCCUAUAAUAUCUCAUUCAUAGCACACAGAGCAUAAUAAAAAUCUACUAGAUAUGUGAAAAAGCAGGAAAAUGAAACCCUUAAUUAAGGGGAAAAAAAGAAGUAUUCAAUAUCAACAGAAGCCAAGAUGUCCCAGACAUUGGGAUUAGCAGAGGACUUUAAAAUAGCUAUUAUAAAUAUUUUUAAGGAUUUCAAAGAAAAGAUAGAUAUAAUGAACAAAUGGAGAAUAACAACAGAGAAACAACAACUGAAGAAAACAUGAAAAUUCUAGAACUGAAAAGCGAAAUAAACAAAUUUUUGAAUGGGAUUAACAAUAUUAAUUCUAAAUGGAAUAAUAAUAAGAAUAAAUAAUGUAAUCCCUAAAACUCACAAAGAUAUUAAAAGGUUUCUCUAAAAAGCCAAUAAAAUAAGAAAAAUGAAUUACCAAAAAAUCUGAUUUUUCCAAAAGAUGCAGAAAUAAAAAACAAAAAACACAUGGAACAAAAAGAAAACAAAUAGCAGGAUUGUAAACAUAAACCCAAACAUAUCAAUAAAUAUUCAAAUACACAUGGACUAAAUGUUCCAAGUACAAGACAGAUGCUAUGAAAGCAGAUUUUAGGGGCUGGGUGCAGUGGCUCACGCCUGUAAUCCCAGCACUUUGGGAGGCCAAGGCAGGUGGAUCACGAGGUCAGGAGUUCAAGACCAGCCUGACCAACAUGGUGAAACCCCGUCUCUACUAAAAAUACAGGUGCCUGUAAUCCCAGCUACUCGGGAGGCUGAGACAGGAGAAUUGCUUGAACCCGGGAAGCAGAGAUUGCAGUGAGCCAAGAUUGUGCCACUGCACUCCAGCCUGGGCAACAGAGCAAGACUCCAUCUCAAAAAAAAAAAAAAGAAAGUAGAUUUUAGAAAAGUAAGUUUCAAUUACAUUCUGUGUGCAAGAAAUAUACUAUAAAUAUAAAGUGAUCAUGUAAAAGAAAAAGAAUGGAAAGAGACAUAUUAUGCAAAUGGACAGCAUUAAAAAUCUGGCAUGGUUAUAUUAAUAACAAAAUGGAGGCUUUGAACAUCACUAUAAUUCACCUAGAGCUAACAGACAUAUAUAUUAAUAGAACAUGCCACCCACCUAAAAAAAUCAGAAUAUACAUUUUUCUCAAGUGCACAUGAUACAUUUUCCAGGAUAGAUCAUAUGUUAGACCAGAAAAUAAGUCUUAAUAAAUUUUAAACUGUUGAGAUCAUAAAAAGUAUUGUUUCUUACCACAAUGAAAUGAAACUAGAAAUCAAUAACAAAAGGAAAACUAGAAUAUUCACAAAUACGUGGAAAUUGUUGACACACUCAAACAAGCAAUAAGUCAAUGAAGAAAUCACAAGGUAGAUUAGCAAAAGCUUAAAUGUGUAUAUAAAAAACUAACUGAAUAUGUAACAUACCAAUACUUAUAAAUUGCAGCAAAAGCAAUGCUCAGAGGAAAUUUUAUAGCUUUAAAUACCUACAUCAAAAAAAAAAACAAGAUAUAUCUCAAUAACUUAGUCUUCCACCUUAAGAAAAUAAAAAAGAAGAGCCAACUAAACUCACAGCUAACAGAAUAAAGGAACUAAUAAAAAUUAGAAUGGAUAUACACAAAAUACAGAGCAGAAAAAUUAUAGAAUCAACAAAAUCAAAAGUUGGUUCUUUGAAAAAAAUCAACAAAACAGACCAACCUUUAGCAAGACUGACUAGAGAAAAAAAGAGAAAAGAAGCAAAUUAAUGCAAUCAUAAAAGAAAGUGGUAACUGACCUUUUCUGUAUAUCAUUUCUAUAAUAAAAAGGAUUACAAGAGAACAUUAUGAACAUUUGGAUGCCAGCAAAUUAGAUAACAGAGAUGACCUGGCCAAAUUCCCGGAAGCACACACAUUACCAAAAGUGGCUAAGGAAAAAAUACAAAAUCUAAUCUAGGUGUAAAAGAGAUUGAAUUAGUAAUCAAAAACUUUCAAACUAAGAAAAGCCCAGGACUAGUGGCUUUAAUAGUGAAUUGUACCAAAUAUUUAAAGAAGAAUUAACACGACUCUUUUCAAGCUCUUCAAAAAAUAGAAGAAAGAACACUUUCUAACUUAGCCAAUGUGGCCAGCAUUAUCUUGAUACCAAAGCCAGAUAAAGCCACCACAAGAAAAUAAUAGUUACAGAUCAAUAUCCCUUAUGAAUAUAGAUGCAAAAGAAUGCAACCAAAUACUAACAAAACAAAUCCAGCAGCAUAUUUUAAGAAUUAUACAGCACAAUCAACUAGUAUUUAUUCCAGGAAUGCAAAGAUGGGUAAACAUUAAAAAAAAUCGUUGUAAUGCAUUACAUCAAUAGAGUAAAGGGGGAGAAAACCCAUAUGAUUAUCUCAAUUAACGCAGGAAAAGCAUUUUACAAAAAUCUGAAAGUCUUUCAUAAUAAAAACACUCAGAAAACUACGACUAGAAAGGAACUUCCUUAAUAUGAUUAAGAAAAGCAUUUAUGGGCCGGGCGUGGUGGCUCAUGCCUGUAAUCCCAGCACUUUGGGAGGCCGAGGCGGGCGGAUCAUCUGAGGUCAGGAGUUCGAGAGCAGCCUGACCAACAUCGAGAAACCCCGUCUCUACUAAAAAUACAAAAUUAGUCGGUGUGGUGGCAGGCACCUGUAAUCCCAGCUACUCUGGAGGCUGAGGCAGGAGAAUCGCUUGAACCCAGGAGGCAGAGGUUGUGAUGAGCCGAGAUCACGCCACUGCACUCCAGCCCAGGCAACAAGAGAAACUCCGUCUCAAACAAAAAAACAAACAAACAAAAAAUUAUGAAAAUCCACAGCCAACAUUACAGUGAAAGGCUGAGAGCUUCACCCCUAACAUCAGGAUUGAAAGGAAGAUGCCUGCUUUCACUAUUGCUCUCUAACAUUGUACUAGAAGUUCUUGCCAGAGCAAUUAGGAAGGAAAAAACUAUCCAAGUUAGAAAAGAAGUAAAACUAUCCCUAUUCACAGAUAACAUGAUUCUACAUAUGGAAAAUCCUAAAGAAUUCACAAAAAUCUAUUGCAAAAAAUAAACGAUUUCAGCAAAAUUGCAAGGUACAAGAUCAACACACAAUAGUCAGUUGUAUUUCUGUACAAUAGCAAUGAACAGUCCAAAAAGAAAAUUAAGAAAACAAUUCCAUUUAUAAUAAGUUCCAAAAGAAUAAAAUAUACACAGGAGUACAUUUAAACACUCUCACCAUUGCUAUUAAAAUUGUACUGGAGGUCCUAGCCAGUGCAGUAAGGCAAAUAAAAACAUAAAAGGCAUGUUGAUUGAAAAGGGAAAAACAAACAAACAAAAAAACAAACUUUGUUGUUCAUUAAAAACAUGAUUGUCUGUGUAGAAAUCCUAAGAUUUUUAAAAAAACAGAAAAACUAUUAAAACGAAUAAGUUAAUUUAGCAAGUUGGCAGAAUACAAUGUCAAUACAAAAAUCAGCUGCAUUUGGCCAGGAACACUGGCUCACACCCAUAGUCCCAGCUACUUGGGAGGCUGAGGUGAGAGGCUCCCUUCAGCCCAGGAGUUCAAGUCUGCAGUGAGUGCUGAUCACGCCACUGCACUCCAGCCUGGGUGACAAAGUAAGCCUCUGUCUCAAAAAAAAAAAAAAAAAAAAAAAAAAAAGAAAAUCAAUUGCAUUUAUAUAUGAACAGAAAACAAACAGAAAAUAAAUUUUAAAUACAAUGCCACUUACAGUGGUACCAAAAUCGUAAAAUACUUAGAAAAUAAUUUAACAAAAGAUGUGCAAGUUUGCUACAAUUAUAACACAUUGCUAACAGAAAUUAAAGAAUAUGUAAAUAAAGAAUGAGAUACCAUUUUCAUGGAUUGGAAGAGUCAAUAUUGUUAUCAGAUUUCCCCAGAUUGACCUACUGAAUCAACACCAUCUCAUCCAGAAUCCCAAUAAACUUUUUGUAGAAAUGAAUAAGUUGAUUCUAAAAUAUAUACAAUAAGAACAUAAAACAGCUAAAAUAACUAGAAAAAGGAAAAACACAGUUGAAACAUUCACAUUACCUGAUUUCAAGACUUAUUAUAAAGCUAUAAUUAUUUAAUAUAGGGUGAUAUUGGCAUAAGGAUAGACAAAUACAUCAAAGGAGCAGAACAGAAAAUUCCAAAAUAAACCCACAGCCAACUGAUUUCUAACGAAUGCAUCAAAGCAAUUAUGUGGCAACAGGAAAGACGUUUCAACAAAUGAUCCUUGACAACUGGAAAAGUGUAUGAAAAAAUUAAACCCCAAUCUUGCAUAAAAAUUUGAGACAGAUCAUAGAUCCAAAGCUAAAAGCUAAAACUAUAAAACUUAUAGAACAAAAUGUAAGAGAAUAGUCUCUUUAUCUUGGAGUAGGAAAAUACUUCUUAGAACACAGAAAGCACUAUAUAAAUAUACAUAUAUUAAAAUAUCUCCCCUCAGUAUGUGAUUUGCCUUUACAUUUCGCUAACAUUUGAUGAGCAGGUUUUAAUUUUGACGUCGUCCAAUUUAUCAGUUUUUGUUUAUGAUUAGUAUAUAAUUGACAAAAUAAUUAUAUCCGAAAUAAAUACGUAAGCCUACCUAUCAGUAGUAAAAGAAAAAUAACUCCCCUUCCCACCAUGAGCAAAAUAUUUGAAUAGAUAUUUCACAAGAGAAUCUUCACCAAUGCUCAGUAAACACAUAGAAAUGUCCUCAACAUCAACACUAUCAGGAAAAUGCAAAUUAAAACCCCAACGAGCACUCACACCCACUAAGAUGCCUACAACUAAAAAUACUGGCAACAGGCUGGGUACAGUGACUCACGCCUAUAAUCCCAGCAAUUUGGGAGGCUGAGGCGGGCGAAUCACUUGAAGCCAGGAGUUCGAGACCAACUUGGGCAACAUGGUGAAACCCCAUCUCUACUAAAAAUACAAAAAUUAGCUGGGUGUGGUGGCACGCCUCUGUAGUCCCAGCUGCUUGGGAUGCUGAGGCAUGAAAAUCCCUUGAACCUGGGAGGCAGAGGUUGCAGUGAGCCGAGAUCACACCAUUGUAUGCCUGGGCAACACAGUGAGAUGCUGCCUCAAAAAAAAAAAAAGACUACCAACAAAUUCUGGCAAGGACGUAAAACAACGGAAAUUUCAUACAUUGAUGGUGGGAGUAUAAAUAGUACCACCACUUUGGAAAACUAUUUGACAGUUUCUUAUAAAAUUAAAGAUAGAUUUUCUCUAUAAUCUAGCAAGUUCAUACCUAGGUAUUUACCAAGAGAAAUGACAACAUAAGCCCCCCAAAAGACUUGUACAAUAUUAAGAUAAAACUUACAAAUUGAUAUGUUCAAAGAUGCUGGCCGGGCACAGUGGCUCAAGACUGUAAUCCCAGCACUUUGGGAGGCCGAGGUGGGUGGAUCACCUGAGGUCAGGACUUCGAGACCAGCCUGACCAACAUGGUGAAACCCCGUCUCUACUGAAAAUACGAAACUUAGCCAGGUGUGGUGGCACAUGCCUGUAAUCCCAGGUACUCGGGAGGCUGAGGCAGGAGAAUCGCUUGGACCCACGUGGCAGAAGCUGCAGUGAGCUGAGAUCGCUGCCACUGCACUCCAGCCUGGGGAACAAGAGCGAAACCCCAUCACAAUUAAAAAAAAAUGCUUAUAGUAGCUUAAAUCGCAAUAGCAGAAAACUGAAAACAACACAAAUGUCCAUUCACAGGAGAAUGUAUAAACAGUGUGGUUUGUUUAUACAAUGGAAUACUAUUCAUUAAUGCAAAGAGUGAACUACUCUUCUAGGCAGUAAUAUGGAUUAAUGUCAAAAAGAUUGUGUAGAUUGAAAGAACUCAGACACAGAGUACAUUCACAGAGUUGUUUGAUUCCAUUUACAUAAAGUCCCAAAAUCAGUCUGUGGUGAUGGGAAUCACAACAGCGGUUUCCUACGGAGGUGAGAAUUGAUUAGAAGUCACAAAGAAACUUUCUGGGGUAAUGAGAAUAUUCUAUAUCUUUACUUGGAUAUUUGUUACAGAUAUCCAUACACAUACAGGUGUAUGUAGUCAUCAAAAUUCAUCAAAUUGCUUAUAAAACAUGUGCAUCAAUUUUAAAGAUCUAUAGAUUAAUAAAUAUAUAAUAGAUUAAUAUCUUAGUCAUUGGCAAAGCUAUUCAGGUAUAGAAAUAUAAUUACCUACAAUUUAUGUGGCAAGAGAAUACUGAUUUUCUCCGAAACAUAAAUUCAUCUUUGAAACUACUACAGUAAUCUGUUAGUUAAAAAAAUAUAUAUAUUUAGCUUUUAAUUGCAGGGAUCAUAUUCAUUCAACAAAUAUUACACUAGGCACUUUUCUAGGGGAUUCAAAAUAUGAUCCUGUUCUUAUGGAGCUUACAUUCUUGGGAAGAAGAGAGAUAACAAAUGAAAACAAAGCAGAGAAAGGAUAGAAGGUAACAGGGAUUGGGAUGGGAAGGCAGUUUAGACAGGCAAGUCUUCUUCAAGGAAGCAUUGUCUGAGGAUCUGUAACAGAAAAAGUGAAGAAUGCUAAAAAAGACUGGGACCUGAGAUGGGGGUGUGUGGAAGGAGCAGAGAACCCGGAGGAUUGGGCAGAGGCGGUAGAGGGUACGGGAAGGGCAUUCCAGGCAGAGUUGAGCAAGUGAUGAGAGCAUAGACUCAGCCAGGCUUUCCUAAUUCUGCCCCCUUAUUAGCUGUGGGACCUUGGGCAAAUUAUCUGAAGUCUGUGCCUCUAUUUCCUCAUCUGUAAAGUAGGGAUAGUAAUAGCACCUCAUGGUUAUAUCCUUGUGAGGAUUAACUAAGUCAAUACAUGGAAAGCACUUAGAAUUGUAAAUGCUAUGGAAGUGUUUCUUAUUCAAGUGUUGUAGUAAUGUUUGAUUGGUAAGUUCAAAGAUACUUACAGUAUUAGGUUGGUGCCAAAGUAAUUGCAGUUUUUGCCAUUUAAAAAGUAAUGGCAAAAACUGCAAUUACUUUGGCACCAACCUAAUAGCUUUAAUCACAAUAGCAAAAAAACUGAAAACAACAUAAAUGUCCAUUUACAGGAGAAUGUAUGAACAGUGUGGUCUGUUAAUACAAUGGAAUAUUACUCCUUGUUUCCUUGUGACUCUUAAUCAAUUCUCAACAUAGGAGACCACUGUUGUGAUUCCCAGUACAUAGAGUGAUUGUGGGACUUUAUGUAAAUGGAAUCAAACAACUAUGUAAAUGUACUCAUUGUGUCUGGGUAAUGAUUGAUAAGUUUCCAAAAAUCAGUGGCUACUACGUGGAAAAUAGGAUCUAGGAGGACAAAAUGGGAGCAAGGAUACCAGUUAGACAACUAUUGCAAUGGUCCAGGCAAAAGAUCAUGAUGGUUUGGACCAAAAAAGAUAGUAACAAGUGGCUAGAUUUAGGCUAUUAUUGAAGGCAGAAUCUGUAGAACCUGCUGAUGAAUUGGAUGUUACAUGUUGCAUGUGAGGAGGGGAAGAGGAAUCAAGGAACUCAAAGAAAACAAAAAAUAAGGAGUUGGGGAAGGGAAGGGAUCAAGUUCUAUUUAGGUCACAAGUCUAGCUUUCAAUGAAGAUGCCUGGUACUCAGCUGAGUAUAUGAAGCUGAAGUUGGAGAGACAUGGAUGGUAUCACCAAUCACCCAAAUAUGUUUCAGGGGUAAUACUGAAUGGACCGCUUUUUGUUAUCUAUCAUUCAUUAGAUUUUUUAAAAAUUGAAAUGGAAUAAUUCUUAAAGGAUUAAUUUAAUCCUACAAAUAAUCUUAAUUAAAUGGACUGAGACCAAUGGUGGAAGAAAUGAAAUGCAGCCCAUAAGCAGAAAAUAAUUCAAAUAGCUCAUUUAUGUCUUCUCCCUAUCUAAGAAAAGGGCCCUCCAGAUGUUACUUUAGUUCUGAAUUAAAGGUGACCGUUUUCAAAAAGGUCAAAGGAUUGAAAAAAUUUUAGAAGGCACUAGAGAUUUAUUUUCUUUUUCUUUCUGGCACCCUAUUACCUCAACUUCAAGAAGAGUAUUGGGAUUACAUUGUCUGAGGACUUCCUUAAAAGUCACUGCUACUGUGUGGUGUUUACAUAAGCAUGCCAACUAGCCUGAUGUUUGUGCUCGCAGACCAAAUUAUUUCUCUUAUUUCUAUCAGCACUAUGGUUUAUAAGCUGCAGUUCCUUAAGACAGAAUUUCAAACAGCCUCCCACAAAACAACCACCUAAUAGAACACAUAAAUAAUUUCCCAAAAAUAACUAUCUACAACUUUAUCCACAAAAAAUAGCCAGUAGUCUCUGUGUGCAGUUCCUUAAAAGUUGCUCAGGAUUUAACCAAUGCAAGGGGGCUCAUAUCUGCUUUCCCUGACACCCAGUUAGACGAAUAUGUGUGAACAGGCAGCAGCUUGGCACCCCUACCUGCUUUGGACUUCUUAGCAAAUCAAAUAAGUUGCAUUUCUAGCUCUGAGCACCAAGCCUUACAGUCUUCUACAAAGUAACAGGAAGACCAGUAGAAUCGCAUAUAAAUGUAAACAGCAUCACUUCCCAGCCUAGCUGUUUUGCUACAGCCAGGUCAGUUUCUCAUUACUCCUCAUCCAGGGCUGUACCUACGUUGGAUGCCAACCUACUAGCCCUGAAGUUGCAUUCUACUUUUCCUUCAUAUCCAUAUCCCUUUCUGCCUUCUGUUCUGGACUUGCCUCUUCUAAGAAGUAGUUCCUAAUGAACCCCACUUACUCUUAGUACUAUCUUCCCCAAUUAUCAACUGAAAAUUCUCACUUCUUCCAAAUUUGGCUCAAUUCCCAUCUCCCCUGUGAAGUCUUGUUUGGCUCCCCACGUGCAUUUAGGCAUUCCUUUCCCAAUGCACCCCACCCACAAGCAGGAGUAAAUAACAUGCUUCUUCAUAGUUCUUCCUAAGUUGGUGGCUCUUCACCAAGAUUGUAUUAUACUCCCCCACAACAAUAAAGUUGAAUGGAAACAACUUGAACAUCCAAUAAUGUGGAAUUAUUCAUUCAUUUAUCCUUUCACUCAAAUAUUUAUUAAGUAACUACUAUGGGCCAUUUAUAAUUCUUAAAUUAGUUGAAACAACCUAAAGGGCUAACAAUAGGGAUUAGUUAAAAUAACCCAGGAAUAAGACAUUAAAUGAAAUAAAUUAUUAGCAACAAAUGAUCAGUGUUGAUAAAUAAAUUAUAAUUUAUUAAUUUUAUGAGCAAUAAAUGAUCACCAUGGACAAAUAUAGCUUAUUAAAUUACAAACUAUAGUUAGCUAUAGAUAGACCACGUACAGUAUUACCUAAUUUUGGAAUCAUAUGUACAGAUGUAAAAUAAAUACACAUAAGACAGGAUUUUAAAGGAUUUGUACAGAGAUAGCAGUUAUAGUCUCUAUUGAGUAGGACAGUGGGCAUUUAUUAUGUUCUUCUGCUUCUCUGAUUUUCUGACUUUUAUGUAACGAAAUAUGUAUUGCUUUUUGAAUAAGAAAACACAAAUUUUUUAAAACUGGAAUUUUCAAUUUUGGAAAAUUUUCUAGUUCAAAUUAUUUACUAUAUUGUUUUUCUAAGUUGAUGAUGUCUGCUCUGCUUGUUUAGCUGUUUUCAUUUUUUCCCCCACAGGAUGGAUGGCAUAGAUUGUUCCAACUAAUUCAAUCACUCACUUUUCAAUGAUUACUUAUUGAUUUCCUAAUUUCCUAUUGUUAUACCUUUCAGUCAUUCUGAUUUCUGAAAAAAUUUGUUAGAAAUGUUUUAAAAAUUCCUGGCAUACCAAAAUUAUUAAUACUGGGAAGUCUAGUAACUGGGAUUUAUUUUUCACCAAAUGGUCUAGUUGAUUAAAUUAUUCUCCACC
rnacentral:lncRNA from 1 species